GAAGAGAGGUUGAGGAGAUGGGAAGGGGAGGCAGAGCCGGCGGCUCCCGGCGGCGGCGUGCCGUCCGGUGGCGCGGUGACAGGAGGCCGAAGGAGAGGGAGAAUCGGGAAGGGGAAGAGUGAGCGAGAGAGAGAGAGGAGAGGGUGGCGUGAGUGGUGUGUGUUUGUGAGGGUGUUGUGGUGUGUGAAUUUAAGUUAGGGAUUUGUUAGAUGGGUUUGGGCUUUAGUUAGUUUAAUUAUUAAUGGGUUUAAGUUUUAUUAAAAAUGUUUGGACUCAACCUUUAAUUUCUUAAUGGGUUGCAGGAUUUUAUUUUAAAUAGGUUAUAUUUGUUUUUAAAAUAAAUAUCAACCCAAAUAUUUUUAUAAGAAAAUAUAUUUUACUACUUAAAUUUAUUAGAUCAAUUAUUUUUAUAUGAUCCAAUAAUCUAAAUUAUUUUCUAAAGUUUAAUUAGGCCCUUAUGUUAAUUAUUUGAAUUUAUCUGACUAGGUGCGGCGCGACUAGGACGUGAACUUUAAAUUCUUGCAGUUAAUUUUCAAAACUCAAAAGUUCAAGUUUCAGUUUCAGGUGAUUGAUAUCGGAGGCGCGUGGAGAGUCGAAUGGGCGCGUCGAAUCUAUUUAAAGAUAAAUGUUUCCUAAAACAUAUUAUGUUAUUUCAUGUGAUAUCUUUUGGUUAUGUAAACUCUGAAAUUCUAUACUAUUUGAGAUUUGUGUGUGAUUUAUUUAAAUAAAUGUUGUUAUAUUAUUUUAAUGUCA